GCAAACCCGAGUGGGUUCCUGCCAUCACCCAACAUCCCUCCCGUGUGAAGUAAUGCCCUCCUCAUCCCGCAAAGUUUCUUGGAAAGCAGAGAGGGGCAACCUCAAGAAAUGUCCUGAAAUAAUCCAGAAUGAAUGCCUAUAGAAUGCAAAUUACACUUUUUCUGUCAGAGAUGAACCUUUCAGACCACGUUCUGAGGCAGACACCCUAGCACUGUUUCUACCCGUCUUCCCUUGAGACAGAGGAAAAGAAGGGAACUGAGGGAUACUAAAUGCCUUUAUUCAGCUCUUCUGAAGCACGCUACCCUCACGCACAGAACAGCUGGAAGUCAGGGGAGCCAAGGGAAGCGAUCACACUUCCUUUCCCAGAAGCAAAGCUACUGCAGUCCCUUGGUGAGGACAAGAAACAAAUCUCUGCAGAAGUCUUGUUAUAAAGCAGGACAAGAGGCUGCCUGCAGUUGGUAUAUCUCCUUUUUUCUCCAAAAUACAAUGGAAGAGGUAUGUUCCAACCACAGGUUACAAUAGUGAAGUUAUUCUUACAAUGUGGAUUUUAAUUUGAGCAGUGUGGCUUCGGCCCUAGGGUGCCUGUCAGCUUCUGUUCCAGCCUCACUCCCUAGUUACCUUGUAACUUUAGCCCAAGUUAGGCAAAUUGUUUUAGGCAACCUAAAAUGAGAACAUACGCUUUUUUUUUUUUU
rnacentral:lncRNA from 1 species